UUCACAUUCCACCAGCCAAGCUGGAACUGUAAUUGCUCUGUUCUCCAAAUUGCCUUUUCUUACAACAAAGAGCAGUUUCUGAAUCUUGUCCUGAACUAGAUGGAAAAAAGAAAUAGACCCUCAGGAAACAAGGAAGCAAAACCACCCAACUGUGUGGAAGCCGUGCAUUCAAGCUGCAAACGAGUGGAGUGGCUUCAAUACCUUAACUUAUCCCCAUUGUUGCAAAGGGAGACCCAGAUUCUUGAAUGACCACAAGUGGCCUCGGUUUAACAAGCCUUGCCAAUGAGGCACAAUGUUCCCGUCCUCAGAAAUAGAGCCCGGCAGAGCUUCCAAAGACCCAUAAAAGUCUGCACUUUUGGAAGGAUGUGACAACCCUGGCAACAAGCACAGAUUCGUCAUUCUCUAUAUUAAGAGAACGUUUGGUUGCAUCAGGCUUUUGAGCUGGGCCAACACUUGGUAAAAAUUUGAACCUGGCAAAGUCAAUUUUCAUCUCUAGCCCGAGGCUCCUUACCCUACAGAUGAUCAAUAAACAAGUCACUGUGAGCAGUUAACGAAGUCCUUCCACACUGCCUUCUCAUCCGAAUCUUGUUAUCAGCCUAAUUAUGUUGGUGUUCUUACUAAUUUGACAUUUCUGAAGUGAACACUGAGGCUUAAGCGAGUAGGGUGACUUGUCUAAGGCCACUCAGCUAGUCAGUGAGAGAGUGAGAGCGGCAAGAAGAGUGAGGGCCUCUGAUGUACUUGCGCUCUUUUCCAAGGGAAGAGCUGACCUCGUGUAUUUCUUAAAUGAGUAUUUGGUGCGUAGCUCCAUCUUAAAAAUACCUAUGCUUUAAAGGAUGUCAAACAGGAGAACUGCACUAGACCAUUUAUAGGCAGACCAUACCAAAAAAAAAAAAAAAAAAAAAAAAAAAAGCCAGUUAGGAUUCUUAAGAUGCUGAAGUAGCCUGACCUAUUGGUUCUUAGAAUUACAGAUGAAAAUAAAAUUACAAUUUUUAUUUUAUUUACUUACUUUUGACUGUGGGGCAUAUGUACCUGAAAUGGUCCCAACUCAAAGCAUCAAGGAUACAGGCUGCUGUGGUGAAAUGGCACAAGAAAGGGGUCAUGGCUUCUCCAUGCCUCCAUCUCACUUCUUUCUCAUCUCCUUUGCAUUGGAACCUUCAGAUGUGAAGGCAGGGUGAUGCUGAGGUCCAGUACCUGACACAGGUAUGGGUUUCUAUCUGUAAUACAAGGCACAGAAAGAAUCAAAUCAAAUCAAAACUCUGAUAAUUGGGAGUUGGAGACAUGGUUAAGUAAUUGAGAGCCAGUACUGCUCUUACAAAGUACCCAGUUCAGUUCCCAGCACCCAGGUCAUAACUGCUUGUUACUCCAGCUCCAGGGUGUUCAGUUUCUUCUUCUGGCCUCUGGGGUCAGCCACACCCAUGUGCACAUACUCACAAAUAUUUCUAAAGUUUUAAAUAAACUUUAAAAGUAUGAGAAUGUAGAUGAUGGUUACUGGAGGCAUAGCCUCAUUCCUGUGAUGGAAUAGCAAACUGAGAGAGUGGCUUGAGGAAAUCAUUUUAAAAGUAGAAAAUAUGAAGGUGUGUAGCAAUUUCCUCCAAGAUUGAAGUAUUGCAUCCUGAAGAGACGCUCCUUUAGCCAGAAGGCAAUCAAUGCAAAAUCGCUGCAGGAAGUUCCUGAAACUGAUCAGUUUCACUAGGCUCCUACCUCCUAAAAGUAAAUACUAAAGACUGCCAAGAGUCACUCCCAGACAAGCCAAGCUGCAAAUAAGAUGCUAAGACCAGAUCAGCUGCCUGGAAGAAGCAGAAACCAGCCAAGCUUCCUGGAAGAGGUUUAGACCAACUGAGUCAUUUCGGAAAGACACUCCCCAAGUUGCUGAGCUGCCUGCAGGCUGUACAGUGUGCUCCAGGUUCCCAGUUUUUGUGAGCUGUCAUCCAUGUGAGCUAGCUUUGGUGAUGCAGCUGUCUUUGAGUCAUUUCUGCUCCUGUAAACAACCCCUCACCCAUAUUCCUGUAAAUAACUCCAAUAAAACUCAAUGGCUCACCA
rnacentral:lncRNA from 1 species